rnacentral:rRNA from 1 species
UACGUAGGGUGCGAGCGUUGCCCGGAUUUAUUGGGCGUAAAGGGCGCGUAGGCGGCCACCGCAAGUCGACUGUGAAAUCUCCGGGCUUAACCCGGAAAGGUCAGCCGAUACUGCGGGGCUAGAGUGCAGAAGGGGCAACUGGAAUUCUCGGAGUAGCGGUGAAAUGCGUAGAUAUCGAGAGGAACACCUGCGGCGAAGGCGGGUUGCUGGGCUGACACUGACGCUGAGACGCGAAAGCUAGGGGAGCGAACGGG